rnacentral:piRNA from 1 species
UCAACGCCAUCUGGUAGCCUGGUACU